CCGAACUGAUUGGUUUGCAGGGUGUCCCACUACUCCAGUACGCAGUCUUAACACCACCCAGGAAUCCACAGACAACCUCAACUUCCAAGAAACAGAAAUGAAGCGGCUGCACAAGCGGCAGAGUUCGUAUACACACUUCGCCCUGACUAUGGAAGUGCAUGAUGAGUCAUUGGAGUAUGUGUGAGCAGAAAAAAAAAAAAAAAAAAAAAAAAAAAAAAAA